rnacentral:misc_RNA from 1 species
GUGAAUCAUCAAAUCUUUGAACGCAAAUUGCACUCUUUUCGGAGGGUAUGCCUGUUUGAGGGUCAGCCUAAAAAAAAUCGACAUAGUCGCUGUUUCGCGGUGACAUGCGUCGGAAAUUGGGUCAUCUUAAACCUUUGGGUUUUAAGCGGCUUAAAAUUUUCUUUACGAUUCUACGAACGUUUCUAAGAUUUACUUAUACGUUUAAGGUAUCGAUUUUUAUUAGACGUGGCAGUUGCUUCAGCUAACGACCAUAUA